CAGCCGCCACGGGAACACGUAGGUGGCGAGCGUUGUCCGGAAUUAUUGGGCGUAAAGGGAGCGCAGGCGGACAUAUAAGUCCAUCUUAAAAGUGCGGGGCUCAACCCCGUGAGGGGAUGGAAACUGUAUGCCUUGAGUGCAGGAGAGGAAAGCGGAAUUCCCAGUGUAGCGGUGAAAUGCGUAGAUAUUGGGAGGAACACCAGUGGCGAAGGCGGCUUUCUGGACUGUAACUGACGCUGAGGCUCGAAAGCCAGGGGAGCGAACAGGAUUAGAUACCCCAGUAGUCCCUGUCUCUUAUACA
rnacentral:rRNA from 1 species